GGGGAUUUGGCUCAGUGGUAGAGCGCUUGCCUAGCAGGUGCAAGGUCCUGGGUUCGGUCCCCAGCUCCA
rnacentral:tRNA from 1 species